rnacentral:rRNA from 1 species
GAUGAACGCUGGCGGCGUGCUUAACACAUGCAAGUCGAACGGUGAAGGCGGAGCUUGCUCUGCUGGAUCAGUGGCGAACGGGUGAGUAACACGUGAGCAAUCUGCCCCUGACUCUGGGAUAAGCGCUGGAAACGGCGUCUAAUACUGGAUACGAGCUGCGAAGGCAUCUUCAGCAGCUGGAAAGAACUUCGGUCAGGGAUGAGCUCGCGGCCUAUCAGCUUGUUGGUGAGGUGACGGCUCACCAAGGCGUCGACGGGUAGCCGGCCUGAGAGGGUGACCGGCCACACUGGGACUGAGACACGGCCCAGACUCCUACGGGAGGCAGCAGUGGGGAAUAUUGCACAAUGGGCGAAAGCCUGAUGCAGCAACGCCGCGUGAGGGACGACGGCCUUCGGGUUGUAAACCUCUUUUAGCAGGGAAGAAGCGAAAGUGACGGUACCUGCAGAAAAAGCGCCGGCUAACUACGUG